rnacentral:rRNA from 1 species
AUUGAACGCUGGCGGCAGGCCUAACACAUGCAAGUCGAGCGAGCGGCGGACGGGUGAGUAAUGUAUGGGGACUGCCCGAUAGAGGGGGAUAACUACUGGAAACGGUAGCUAAUACCGCAUACUAUCGGAUAACCCAUAUGGGAUUCGCUAGUAGGUGAGGUAAUGGCGCACCUAGGCGAAGAUCCCUAGCUGGGCUGAGAGGAUGAUCAGCAACACUGGUACGUAGACACGUACCAGACUCCUACGGAGGCAGUAGUGGGGAAUAGGGCACAAUGGGCGCAAGCUGGAUGCAGCCAUGCCGCGUGUAUGAAGAAGGCCCUAGGGUUGUAAAGUACUUUCAGUCGGGAGGCGUUACCGACAGAAGAAGCACCGGCUAACUCCGUGCCAGCAGCCGCGGUAAUAC